AUUCCAGCUCCAAUAGCGUAUAUUAAAGUUGUUGUGGUUAAAAAGCUCGUAGUUGGAUCUCGGCGGUCUGAGGGCGGUUCGCUUCAGAGCGCUACUGCCCUAUAGACCGUAGUUUUGCCAGAGGUCUCAGGGUGCUCUUAACCGAGUGUCUUGCGAUGCUGGCAGGUUUACUUUGAAAAAAUUAGAGUGCUCAAAGCAAGCUUAUGCUCUGAAUACAUUAGCAUGGAAUAACAUGAUAGGAGUCUGGUCCUAUUGUGUUGGCCUUCGGGGCUGGAGUAAUGAUUAAUAGGGACUGAAGUGGGCAUUCGUAUUUCAUAGUCAGAGGUGAAAUUCUUGGAUUUAUGAAAGACGGACCACUGCGAAAGCAUUUUCCAAGGAUGUUUUCAUCG
rnacentral:rRNA from 1 species